AAGAAAGAAAAGGCAAUACUCUUUAUAUUUCAGGCCUUAGACCCUUUACUUAUCUCAGAGUAUUAUUUGAUUUCAUAGUAUUUAUUGUCAUAAUCUUGUGGGAUACCUGAUGUGUUACCUGAACUUUUAGUUUUAAAAAUGCUGAAGCUUAGAGGAAUUGGAUUUCAGAGACCCAAUCUUCAGAAGGGAAUUGGGAAAGAAAUCAUCUUUCUGAUUGCCUGCCUUCAAGUUGUUGGAUGGAGCAUUUGAUACCACAUGGAAACUCAUUAUUGCUCGUUUUAUAUCAACUGUCUUUGAGAGUUGGAUUUUGUGAGAUACCAUGUCGGUUGGAGAGGAGAGGAGAAUGAAAUAUUCUUUCUAAGGGUGUGGAAAUCUCUCUCAAGCAGACGCGUUUUAAAAACCCUGAGGGGAAGCUUGAAAGAAAAAAUCUAGACAGGACAAUAUCUGCUGACGGUGGACUUGGGUCAUUACAGAUUCUUAGUACAUGUGCUUGUGCCUUAGUCAGAUGAGCUCAUAAAAGAAUCUAUUUAACCGCACCAAAGAUCGAAGAAAACACCACACCCGUACGAAACUGUUAAGGGAAAGGAGCUGGAUAACUCAGUUGAGUUGCUUUUAUGAGCUUACCCUUAAGGCUUAGCCAGGUUCCUUCGGUGAAAACUCCCACUCUUUGAAGAGCCUAGAAGUUGCCUGCUCCGUUGGUGGAUGAGGCCAUCACUGUAUUGUAUUGCAUUCUCGAAUGAGUGUUGCUUUUAAAUAGCAUUGGAAUGAACUCAUUGGUGCGCGAAUAAAGCUUGGGUGAACUCCUACUCUUUGAAAGGCCUAGAAGCAACCUGCUCAAUGAGGUUAGUGGAUAAGCUCAUGGGAUUUCUCAAACGAGUGUUUGCUUUUAAAUAGCAUUGACAUGAAGUCAUAGGAUUGUUGUGAAUGAAUCUUGAGCGAACUCUUACACUAUGAAGAGCCAUGCAGCUUUCACAUGGCUCGAUGAUGCUUGACAGAUGAGCUUGUAUAC